rnacentral:rRNA from 1 species
CAGCAGCCACGGUAAUACAGAGGGUGCAAGCGUUAAUCGGAAUUACUGGGCGUAAAGCGCGCGUAGGUGGUUCGUUAAGUUGGAUGUGAAAUCCCCGGGCUCAACCUGGGAACUGCAUCCAAAACUGGCGAGCUAGAGUAGGGCAGAGGGUGGUGGAAUUUCCUGUGUAGCGGUGAAAUGCGUAGAUAUAGGAAGGAACACCAGUGGCGAAGGCGACCACCUGGGCUCAUACUGACACUGAGGUGCGAAAGCGUGGGGAGCAAACAGGAUUAGAUACCCGCGUAGUCCCUGUCUCUUAUAC